rnacentral:lncRNA from 1 species
CCCGUGUUAACCUCUAUCAUGGUCCCCUGUAUUACCAUGUCCCUGGGGUUAACCUCUAGGAUGGUCCCCUGUAUUAACGACUGUCCCUGGGUAAGCUCUAAUCAUGGUCCCCUGUAUUACCAUUGUCCCUGGGUUAACCUCUAUCAGGUCCCCGUAUACCACUGUGCUUGUGUUAACCUGUCUUCUGUCCUUCUUGUUUCCUAUCCCUCCAGGCGGUUUGUGGAGACGGGAAAUGUUUAAAUCAGAGGAGGUCCCAGAGAGACAUAACCUCUGCUACUUCCCAACCGCAAACGACAUAAAGAACCACACCACGAGGCCCAAAGACCUCCACAGGCUGGGGGGGCACCACUGAUAUAACACAGGUAACUAGGAAGACCUUCCAGCAGGCUGGGGGGGGGCACCACUGAUAUAACACAGGUAACUAGGAAGACCUUCCUACAGGCUGGGGGGGCACCACUGAUAUAACACAGUAACUAGAAGACCUUCCACAGGCUGGGUGGGGCACCCACGGUAUAUAACACAGGUAACUAGGAAGACCUUCCAGCAGGCUGGGGGGGGGACCCACUGAUAUACACAGUAACUAGGAAGACCUCCAGCGGCUGGGGGGGGGCCACCACUGAUAUAACACAGGUACUAGGAAGACCUUCCAGCAGGCCUGGGUGGGGGGGGGGGGUCACAACUGAUAUAAACAGGUACAGGAGAAGACUUCCAGCAGGCUGGAGGGGGGGGGGUACCACUGGAAUAACACGGUAACGAGUAAGACUUCCAGCAGGCUGGGGGGGGCACCACUGAUAUAACACAGGUAACUAGGAAGACCUUCCAGCAGGCUGGGGGGGGGCUGGGGGGGUCACCACUGCUUCUUAUGUGUUCCAGCUCUUUCAUCUAAAGUUGUUUUUCUCCAUGUCAUGUGUGCUGUUCGCUGCUUCGCCUCCAGUGGACUGAAGUGGACCCAAUGACUGUGACUCUGACCCUCACGCCAGCCCCUGCUGAAGUCUGUUCAGGUGCCUUCCAGAGAGUAGGAGUGUUGGAGGGGACUGACGCGUUCAUUCCUGAGGCCGUACAGCUCUUCAGCUCUCUCAGCUCCCUGCAACCCAAGAUCUUUGCCCAGCUACAGGGUAUCCAGCUCCAACCAGGCCUGUGUUCUUUUGACGGAGGUCUGUCUCAGUCGUCUACAGUCACUACAGACUUCCUGGAGCUGCCCAGCCCCCCACAGCCCCUCCUGGUCAGCCCCACACAGUUCCUCCAGUCCAGCCCCUCUCUGGGGGAAGCUAUGACCCUUGCUGACCCCUCAGUGGUUCUGGGCAUGGGUCAGGUGGUCAUGGUGUCAUCGUUAGGGGACGGACAGGUGGUCAGCGUGUCAUCUCUAGGGGACGAGAGCGUGGGGACACACCAGAUACUGUUGGAGGACGGACAGACCAUCCCUUUCCAGAUAGUGGCUCCUGCUAAUAUUGCUAUGAACAGUCCAGUUGAGGUCAAGGAGGAGGAGAUGAGGACGGAGGAGGACACUGUCAACCCUGUAGAUUGACACCAGGCCCUACAGGGGUUGUACUCCAGGUACCCCAGGGUUGUACUCCAGGGGUGUAUCUCAUUCCUCACAGGGGUGUAUUCUUGGGGUGUAUCUCAUUCUUCACAGGGGUGUGCUUCAGCCCUCACAGGGGUGUGCUUCAGCCCUCACAGGGGUGUGCUUCAGCCCUCACAGGGGUGUGCUUCAGCCCUCACAGGGGUGUACCUCCGCCCUCACAGGGGUGUACCUCCGCCCUCACAGGGGUGUACUUCAGCCCUCACAGGGGUGUGCUUCAGCCCUCACAGGGGUGUGCUUCAGCCCUCACAGGGGUGUGCUUCAGCCCUCACAGGGGUGUAUCCCAUCUUUACCAUAUACUUACUGUAGGAGCGGUUGGUUUUACCUCAGGACGGUCAUGUUUAUUGAUCACGUUUAUUGUACAAUUGACUGAAAGUGCAAUUUAUCCAGUGUUUUCUCCUUGUUAUGCUUUUUGAUAUCAUCACGAGGAACUUGUUUGCUAUCGCUUUAAAAUCAUGGAAUCCAACGAAUAUAGUAUAAUUACAGAUAAAAAAAUAAAAAAAGACAACUAGGAGAACCCUGGAUGUAUCAAGUUAAUAGUUAAUAACAUGUGUAUAUAUUAGUGCAUAGUCUUUUCAAUAGAUUUUAACCCUGUUGCAUAGUCUUCUGAGAUGAUCAUGUACUCCAAUAAAGGUUUAUUUUAUUUGUUUAAAUUAAUUAAUUCCUUAAGUUUAUUUCUUAAUUCAAUUGUUUUAAGUGGUUUACGGACUAUUCUAUUCAUUUGCCAAUAAAGAUCCAUCCAGUCUAGUGGGACUUUGCCACAACAAGUAAGAUUCAAUCAGAAGGACAGUAGUCAGAUUUGGAAUUUAUUCCCAUAAAAUAAAAAAGGUCAAAAUGGAACACUAUUUUGGGUAUAUUCCGCAAGAMUGAAAAUCUACCACUUCGAGGUAUUUGAUCAGAACUCUUCUGCCAUGGUGGAUGAGUCUGGAUCCUCCUCUUCUGCCAUGGUGGAUGAGUCUGGAUCCUCCUCUUCUGUCACGGUGGAUGAGUCUGGAUCCUCCUCUUCUGUCACGGUGGAUGAGUCUGGAUCCUUCUCUUCUGUCACGGUGGAUGAGUCUGGAUCCUUCUCUUCUGUCACGGUGGAUGAGUCGGAUCCUCACUCUUCGGUCACGGAUGGAAAUGAGUCCUGGAUCUUAUCCGGGUUUCCCAAUCAACAGUCUGGAUCUUUCCGGUUUCCAGUCUAAUAGAACACAGAGAGUACCUGUCUAAUAGAACACAGAGAGUUACCUAGUUCUAUAGAACACAGAGAGUUACCUGUCGAAUAACACAGGAGUUACCGGUCUAAUAAACACAGAGAGUUUACCUGUCUAAUAGAACACAGAGAGUUACCUGUCUAUAGACACAGAGAGUUCCCUGUCUAAUAGAAACAAAUGCAGAAAAGAAGUUAACCUGUCUAAUAGAACACUGAGAGUUACCUGUCUAAUAGAACACUGAGAGUUACGUCUAAUAGAACAGAGUUACCUGUCUAAUAGAACACAUAGAGUUAUCCUGCUAAUAGAACACAUAGAGUGACCUGUCUAAUAGAACACUGAGGGUUACAUGUCUAAUAGAACACUGAGAGUUACCUGUCUAAUAGAAAAACAGUAGUACUGCUAAAGAAAGAGUUACCUGUCUAAUAGAGAACACAG